GCGCUUAAUGGAUAGAUCCUGCGCCGCAGCUUAGCUGGACGAUGUGGUGAUCCACAGCAGCACCUGGAAGGACCAUCUAAUUUGAUUGGAAUGUGUACUGGGAGCCCUAAGAGAUGCUGGACUGUAGGCGAAAACGACCAAGUGCUGUGUGGCGUUAGAGGAGGCUAACUAUCUGGGGUAUACCGUAGGUCGGGGGAAUGUAAAGCCCCAAGUGGGGGAAGAUCAAUGCCACCGCGACCUGCCCACAAUCACUGACCAAAAGCCCAGUGAAAAACUUUCUGGGGGUAGUGGGGUAUUAUGGACAAUUUAUACCUAACUUUGGCACUGUCGCAGCCUCCUUGCAUGAGCUGACUCGAAAAAGUCUCCCUAACCAGGUCAAGUGGACGCCAGCUACAGAAGCUGCCUUAGAGUCCCUACAACAGGCCCUCUGCGGGGAACCAGUCCUGGUAACUCCAGAUUUCUGUAAGCCCUUUCUGUUGCGGAGAAACGCGUCCGAAAUUGGCAUUGGGGCGGUCCUGUCCCAGGUCCAUCACCUACAUAAGCCGUAAACUGUUGGCGCAUGAGAAGAACUACGCAACUGUGGAUAAGGAGUGUCUGGCUGUCCUGUGGGCGAUGGAAAAGCUGAAAUAUUAUCUGUGGGGUAGGAAAUUCAUCAUUGUUAAAGAUCAUGCCCCGUUGAGAUGGCCUUUGUGUAACCCAGUUGUUUUUGGAACUGCAGAAUUUAAAAUUCCAGGUGGAACAUUGGGCUGGGAAGCGGCCCGGAAAUGCAGAUGUUUUGUGAAGGAGGGAGGACUGCUUAUGGGCGGGCACUCCCUACGUUGGCUUGGAGCUGGGGAAAGGGGUAUGUGGCACCCCGGUGGCUCUGUUAGAAGGGAAACACCCUCCUCACGGUGGUCAGAGGCCCUUCCCACAUCGCAGGCCACUGGGGAAGGUCAUCGGAGGGAAAUAUCUCCCCAACUACCUGGUCCCUGUCUGGGAGAGCAGCAACAGUCGAGCAGCACCCAGGUUGAUUAAAGCUGAGGGAAGCAACCCAGGUGUGGCUAAUCUCCCCCUGAUUAAGACUGCACCACAGAUCUGCUUUAAGAGGCAGACAAAUUGAGAGGAGAGGAUGAAGGUGGGAGAGCGAGGACGUUUCAGUGGGAGCUGCCGCGUACCAUGAGGGCGUGAGUAAAAGACUGUUUGUGUGUUCAAGAUCGAGAGGAUGUUGAUGACCCAAGGAAACAAAGGAAGGACACACUCGGAAAAGAGUGGACUGUUCGGAACCAAAAUAAUCCCAGACCCAGCCUAACCCCUCUGUGUGAGCAGAGACUCGUUGGUUUCCUCGAACGGACUCGUGUACACCAGUCUGGUGGGAAAAAGCUUCAUGGUACUCCAGUUUAACGGGUAGAAUGAAACAUAUAAUCCACAGUUUGUGAAACCUUACAGAUGUAUCCAAAGCAAAGUACAGAUGGUCGGUUUCUGAAUCUCAACUGAACUAACUGGUCAGCAUCAGUUAGAACAUCAAAGGCACAUUGAUACUUUGAUGUCCAGGACAUCAAAGUCAUUAGCUACUUAUCUUAAGGUGACAGUAACAUGCUUAACUAUUAGCCCUACGGUACUAUAAACGAUAUAAACUGCACUCAUUCUAGACUAAGCAUGAACAUGAAUAUGUCGCAGUGUAACUUGGCUCCCACAUACCGGCCCCUAAUUGCGCUCUUAUCUGGAGACAAUUACCAAAUUAUAUGUGGAGCCACAUAAACUAAUGUAAUGUAUUACUGUCUAUUCGGUCCAGCAUGCUGGUCUUAGUCUUGAUCUGGACCUGACGCACCAUCCCGUACUUGUCUGGGACUGUCUGAACGAUCUUUCCCAUGAUCCAGACGAGCACGAUGUCUCCGAUGACAAAGUUGCAAGAUGGUCUGGACCACUUGUGGCGCUCCUGAAGCUGCGGCAGGUAUUCCCUUACCCACCGCUUCAAGAACAUGUCUGCAAUAUACUGGAUUUGCUUCCACCUUCUGCGUGCAUAAGGUCCUUACAGACCUGAUCAUCCUCUCCCAGACUCCUCCAUGGUGCAGUUGGAUGACCACUGCCUUCCCAAAGCCUACCAGCUUGAAACACUGACGCCUUCUAGCAGAGCUCCUGCAGGAUUCUCUUAGCCAUGAGCACGACUGGUGCUAAAAGGAUCAUACACAGAGCUCACGAUUGACACCUUCAAAUGAUGGAACAUUGCCUCGAUGUCUGCCAUGACGGCGACCUCCUCCUGUCUGAAUCUGGUGAUGACAUCAAUGAGGGUGCUGGUAAGAUUUGGUCCCCUGUACAGGUUGCUCCACAAUCAAAUACCACCCUGAGCUUUUUCUUUGUAGGGUGGUUAACCCCGUAGUGUGGUUGUGGUAGGUCCUUGUUCCUCAGUGGCAGAUCAAUGCUGUAAUGUCUUUCUACAAGUGUAGCUGACUCUGAGGCUAUCUCAAGAAUUUGUCGGUCUUCUCUGGACAUUUCCAGUUUCUCAUCCUUCUCGUACUCAGGGAAGUUGCUCUUGAACUGCUGACUCCAGAGUUCCUCCAGUCUGGUGCUGCUGAGCUGUGGCAGAUGUUUUCCCGGUAGAGUCCACUAAUGAUCCAGCCAAUCGCCUUUUACACGGCGUGAGGACCGCCCUUCUCUACGCUGGCGAUGAACUUCUCGGGUUCAAUGGCCUCGUGGCCGUCCCUCCCAAUAAGCAGACCUAUCCCUGUAUCUAUUUUGGUAGUUGUACCUGCUGCAGGUGGGGCCACCCAACCAGUUCCCCCUGUGAUGAGAUGUUACCUUUGGUUGCGGGAAUUAUUUUCUGGGAAUAUAUAUCUGGGAGCCCCAGGAAAUUGUUGCCGCCUAGGCUACUCACUACCAAGGCAGAUACUAUUUGAGUAUCGGCCCACCUCCAUUCCCCCUGGGUCUUUGCAGUCAGCAGCGAGAUGCGUGUCUUUCUGCGUGUGAUAUUAAGCUCUUUCAUCAGGUUCUCUGUACACAAACAAGAGGUACUGCCAGAGUCUAUGAAAGCGUAAGUAGUUGUUAUCUUUCGGCUUUUGUUGCUCUUGACUAGUACUGGUACUAUUCCCAAGAUCUUUCCGUUGUUUUCGGUAUUUGUUGGUCCGCCGUUGCUUGUGCGCGACUCUCCUUUGGAAUUUAACCCCCGAUUCAUCACCACGUUCCUUGUUUCUGGCUUUGAUCUUGUCUCCUCAGGCCAACGUUCCUUCCCUUGCCAUGUAUUGGGUCCCUGGCUUUAUCGGCCUUUCUGUCAACAAAGUCCACAAAGUCGUGGAGCAUAAAUGUUGAUAUUGUGGGCCUCUGUAUGCCACUCUUCCUCCAGCUCGCAUAGGAGCUUCACGUGGAAUCCUGUAUGUUACGCGUGUUGUUAAACGUAUCCAUGAACUCAAUGUUCUUCACAGCACUACAGCAUACUGAGAGAUAGAGGCCGAAGGACUGGAGACCUUUUCCAUUGUCUCAAAAAAACGUAUUAUAUUCUUCCAGGAAAAUUUUCGCCAAGAUCUUGAAUUGGUAGUUUUUCCCAAAUGUCAUUCCACUCGACUUAAGUUAUCUCCAGGCCGGAGUCCUCCUCCCAUUUCUGUCUGACCUACGUAGUGGAGUGGGUUUUGGAGUAAUUUAUAUAUCCGUGAGAUUAGAUGUUUGCUACCUUCAAUCUUAUAAGCCUAGGUGAAAACAUUUAACAGGUUAGAUUCCCUGUCCUGUUUGAUUUCUUCGUUAAAAUAAUCCCUAACCUGGAGAUACCUGAAGAAGUCACAUUUGUCUCCAGACCACCACCUUUGAUUAUAGUGCAGUAAGCAGUUAUACCUUUGAGUACCCACUGUCUAAAUUGCUUGUCUAGGCCAGAUGGUAAAAAAGUCAGAAUCACAAGCCACGCAUUUCAGUAUUCUGGCCUGCUUCUCAAGGGGAAACCUUUUGCAGGUCUUAAACCACACUCCGAGGGCCAGCCUGGUCCACUGGUUUAGUUUACACAUGUAGGAGUCUCGGUUUUGGUAAUCACCCAAAACAGACUUCGCUGGUAAUUCAAAAUGUUUCAGUUCUAAAUCUCUCCACUUAGCUGUGUAGUCGGGAUUGCACCAGCAGACAAGUAGUCUUAACUGAGCAGCAGUGUAAUAAUCCUCAAUGCUGGGAAGGGCGAAGCAGCCCUUCUCUUUGGAUAAUUAUAGGGUUUUGUAUUUAAUCCGGGGUCUCUUGCUAUUCCACACAAACCUUUAAAUCAACCUAUUCCAUUCAUUAAAGGCUGUGGGGGGAAUUGCAACAGGAAGAGACUGGAAUAGGUACAGAAGCCUAGGUAGCACAAUCAUUUUAACUGAUUCAAUCCUAUUCGACAUAUAUAGUGGUAAUAUCGUCCAUCUAUUAAGGUCUGCUUUAAUUGAUGUAGUAACAGGACUAUGGUUACUUUCAUAUAUUUUGGAGAUGUCCCUUGGGAUCCAUACACCCAGAUAUUUAAUAACCGUAGAGUUCCAUUUAAAGUUAAAUAUACUUGGUACUUCAUCAUUCGCAGUUAAGUUGUAACAAAGUAUUUGGGAUUUGUGUGUAUUCAAUUUGUAUCCUGAGUAGGAGCCAAACAAUUCCAAAAGGGACAUCAAUUUGGGUAUACUUUUCCCUGGGUAACUCAGAGUCAACAAAACGUUGUCCACGAAUAAACUAAUCUUAUAUUCAGUGUCCCUUACUGAGAUCUCCCUAAUCUCUGGAUCUUCCCUCACUGCCUGAGCUAAGGGCUGUAUAAAAAAUACAAAAAGUGCGGGGCUGAGUGGACAACCCUGGCAGCACCCUCUCUCUAAUGUGAUGGAUUGGGACAGGUGCCCAUUAAUUCUUAUUCUAGCCGUUGGGGAUGAGUAUAAUAAUUUAAAACACUGAACUGAUCUUUUGUUGAAGCCAAAUUGCUCUAGUACUUGAUAAAGAUAACCCCACCCAACUGAAUCGAAUGCCUUCUUUGCGUCUAGGCUAAUCAGUGACGCACUGAUGUUUUCCUAAAUUACAUAAUCAACCACAUGCAGCGUUCGCCGAAUGUUAUCUUGUGUUUGUCUUUCACGGACAGACCCAGUUUGAUCUGUGUCCAUCAUUUCAGAGAUGAUAUGUUCAAGCCUUUUAGCAAAAAUUGAUGCAAAAAGUUUAUAAUCAGUGUCAGAUAGAUAUAGGUUUAUAUGAACUACAUUCGCCUUUAUCCUUACCCCCCCUUAGGAAUUAUUGUUAUUACUGCCUUGUUCCAAGACUGGGUUGCCUGCCCGUCUUUGAGAGUGUAGUUAAAGCAUCUAAGGAGCAGUGUCGUCAACUCUGGUCUAAAGGUUUUAUACCACUCACCGAUGAAACCAUCAGAUCCAGGCGCUUUAUUUGCCUUCAGUCGUGAAACGGCUUCAUCCAGCUCAGCUAUAGUAAUCUCUGAGGUCAGUAAACUAUUUUGUUGGACACCAAUUGAGGGGAGAUUCCAGGAAGCGGUCUAUUUCAAAAUGAUCAGCCUUUUACGGUUGGCUGUAUAAGUCCUUAUAAUAGUCUUCUAAAGCUUGUUGAAUGUUCUCUAGAUUGUGGCACACUUUAUUAUUUCUUGAAUUCCUUAUUUUGUAAAUAGUCCUCUCAGCUUGUUUACGUAGUCUUCAUGAGAGAAGCUUCAUAGCCUUAGGGCCAGUUUCAUAAUAUUUUUGUCUACUGAAUCUCAUUUUUAUGUAAUUUUCUUCAUUCUAAAUCAUAUUUAUUUCCUGUCGGAUACAUUUCAGUUGAGCCAGUAAUUGUGGAUCUCUAUGAGUGGAAUGUUGAGUUUCUAAGUCCUUCAUUUUUGCUUGUAGUUCCAGUAAGUGUCUCUGUUUAUCUUUUUUCUUAUAAGUAGAGAAAGCUAUAAGUUGUCCUCUUAUUAGGCCUUCCAAGCAUCCCAUAGGACAUUAGGUGAUACUGUUCCAUUAUCAUAGUUUAGCAAGUAAUCAUUCAAUUCUUUUUUGAUGAAAUCUUUGCAUUUUUUUUAUCAUUCAAUAGACUUGGUUGAGUCUCCAUAUUUAAUUUUAACUAAUAUUAACUUUUUAUUAUCUAGGUGCAUUGUGAAGUAUACUCCUGAAUGGUCUGAGAAAUCUUUAAUACCUAUCUUGCAAUCGUUUAUCCUGUGUCUGUCUGCGGUGUACAUAAAAAAAUAGUCUAAUCUCGAGUAUUCUUAAUGGCGUGAUGAAUAGUAGGUAAUUUUUUUCAUAUAAUUACUGAAUUUGCAUUUUUUUCUUAUUCAAAUUUCUAUAGUCAAAUUUGGGCUGUGAUUGAACAUUCCAGUCGCCCCCACAGAUUACAACUCCCAAUGAUUCUUGAAUCAGUAGAUUAAAUAUCUUUUUGAUGAAUGAUCUAUCAUGCCCUGGAGGCAUGUACACAUUAAGUAAGGUAACUUCUAUGUGAUCUAUUGUACCUUUGAUUAGUAUAAAGCGACCUUCCUUAUCUUUGAUUUCCGCUGUUAGUUGGAAGUUUAUUUUAUUAGGGAGCAAUAUAGCCACACCCCUCUUAUUCCCUGAGUGAUGGAGAGUCCUUCUCUCCGUAGAUCAUCAGCAAACUCUCUUGCGUCAUUAUAGAUCCUUGGUCUGCUGUCAGACACCUUGAACUUGGCAGGAGGCGGGGUCUGAAACCGUACUCCUCUCCUCUUGAGCAUUCUUCUUAUUCCAACAUAUUCCCUUAUUUUCUUCAUUACUUCUGUGGGGUAAUCGUUGUCAAAGUAAACUCACCUGUCCUUGUAGAAAACUAAUUUCUUUUUCCAUGCGGUGGAAAGAACCUGGUCUUUGGUUUUAUUUUCUAAGAAGUUUAAAACAAAAGAUCUCGGCAAGCAUCUCAAGGUGGUCGCGGACCCAGCGAUCUGUGGCAGCGCUGUAUUUUGAGAUCAAUUUCUCCCAGGGCCAGCUCUGAUGUCAGAAAUUUUGCCACAAACGCCACCAUGUUGUUUUCUUACUCGCCUUCAGGGAUGCUGUAAAUGCGGAUGUUUUUCCGCUGAGAUUGCAGCUCCAAAUCAGUCACUUUUGUUUGUAUGGAAUCCUGUGCCUGUUUCAUUUGCAAGAGCGCGUCUUCAAAUGCCGAGCUACACUCUUCGAUUUCAGCUACACGCUGCUACGCUUCCUCCACAUGUGUUGUUGUGGUUUUUAGGUCUUCCCUGAUAUCUCCCAGUGCCUGGUUAAUCACCCCUCUGAACUCAGUCAAUUCUUUCUUGACGUCUGGGAGCCAAAUAAGUGUUCGUUCCGCAACUGCUUUGAUAUAAGGCACCAACCCUUUCAUAUGCUUCCUUGAUCAUGAGUCUGUCAGCUGCAGCUGCUAUGGCGCCUUGAAUUUCCCUCUUUCUUCCAUUUUAAUUCCCUUUUUAAUCUUGCAACCCUUUCCUGUAGCUCCAGCUUUUCGGUUUGUAUUUGUGUUUCCCUUUGGACUUGUGCUUCCAUUUCCAUCCUUUCCCUUUGGACUUGUGCUUCCAUCUCUGCUUCUUUCGCCUCCAAUAGUUGUCUGAGUUUAACAGUGACUGCCCGGGCCCGCAACGUAGCGCUCUCCAACUUUGCCUUCCGUCGUGCAGACGAAGUCGAAGAUAUAGCACGAGAGGAACCCUUGGAACCCGAUCUGGAAGCUCUGUCCUCUUUGUCGUAACGUGUAGCCUCUGCAACACGUUUCUCUGCACUGUCUAUCCAGACAACAAUCUCUUUCAUAAAGACCUUGAAGGCAACGGCCUUGGGUUGAACCAGCUAGUUUGAUUCCUGCUCAUUUCGUCCUAUUCAGCGUGUUGAUGAUAUGUCCCUUUGACGUAAAUAUCUGACACAUAGAACUCUUUGAGCAGCUCGUCAAACUUUUCCAAUUCGGACUGAAUUUCUGUUAAGCCGUUGUAACCACGUUCAUCCGUUAUUUGGCAUAUCAGCUUCUUUUGGCCCAUUAGUUGAGCUAGCCUUUCCCUUAACCCAAUGGCUUGCUCCUUAUCAUUUUCCAUUGCCUUAGAUAUGACUUUCGUCACCCCUCUGCUCUUCAGAACCGCACCAGUUUCAACAGCUGCAUCUUUGCUUCUUGCUCCAUUUGCUAGGUUAAUGGCUUAACUGGUUCCUUCUUCUUUAGAGAGAUGAACUUUACUCACAACCUCAGUACCUCUCCUUGACCAUCCAUCCGUGUGGAGCAGGUUUUCUUACGAAAGUGUGAGCUAAGACUGGUUGGUUUCCUUGAAUGGACUUGUGUACACCAUUCUGGUGGGAAAAAGCUUCACGGUACUCCUGUGUAACGGGUAGAACGAAAUAUUUAAUCCACAGUUUGUGAAACCUUACAGAUGUAUCCAAAGCAAAGUACAGAUGGGUAUGAAAACUGUCGCUCGGUGGUCGGUUUCUGAAUCUGAACUGAACUAACUGGUCAGCAUCAAGGUCAUGCUGAAGAACAUCAAAGGCACAUUGAUACUUUGAUGUCCAGGACAUAACCUACUUCUCUUAAGAUGACAGUAACAGGCUUAACUAUUGUACCUAAGGUUCUAUAAACGAUACAAACUGCACUCAUUCCAGACUAAGCAUGAACAUGAACAUGUCGCAGUCUAACUUGGCUCCCACACCCUCUCUCCUCUGGUUUCUCUCUCCAGGCACAGUAGAGGUGGACAGCCUCCCCCGUUCCAGGAUGGAUUUAAGUUAUUAUGCCCCACCUGUUAUGUAAUAAAACAAACUUCUUUUUUUUUAACGAGACUGACGUGGUCUUUAUUCCAAUUGUUGGUUGAAAUCCCCUCGAGUUGAGCCAGGCCUCUCACAAUACCCUUCACACUUGAAUUAACAAACAUAUACACCUAACAAAAAAUGGUUAGAUAUUCACUUGUUUAUUGAUUUCAAGAAAGCUUUCGACUCUAUUUGGCAUGAAGGGCUCUUUUACAGACUUCUACACUGUUAUAGGGGAUCUGGUUAACAAGUUCAACUCUGUGAAGUCAGAUUUCUGAAAGUCAACUCAAAAUUAAAAAUUCUCUCAGACAGCAUAUGUUGCUGCACAAUAUGCAUUAACAUGCCACCACCUGAGGGUCAGUGAAUGACUGACAUGCAUACACACAAGAUAUACUGUAUAUAUAAUUAAUAUUAAUCAAAUCUUAAUGUUGUGUUAAUGUUCAUGUUACUGUUUGUUGUUUAUCAUUCCAAAUUUUGUAUUGAUGUCCGAAUGUUUACCAAAAUUGUAUUUUCAUGAUUUGGCAACAUUGUUGUUGAAACUUUUAAACACAUUGCCCAGCGCAGCACUCGACCAGAGCUCUGCCAACCGUUAGGUCAGGUGAACAACAAAACAAUACAUGGAAGAAUUAAAUCCCCCUUCCAAGUAUUUGUGCUUGGUGACUAUUCUCUUGGUCUAGUUUUCUUUUUUGGCCACUCAUGUCUACCUUUGCCGUGUGUAGUUGGCAUGAUGGCCAAGACCAGACGAGACCCCAGGUGCUUGGCAAUAAGCCUCUUGCAUUUUUGGGAGCGUCCUCUAACGGUGUGGAUCUGGUUCAGAUGUGGUCAAAUGGUCCGCUCAAGCCUGUGAAACCAACAAUUUAUUGUUAUUUGUGGGGGUUUGACUCGCGGGACGCACUGAGUGACGACGCGGGCCGGAUGCGGCUGCCAGUUACCCAUCCCCGCACUGGAUUGUGGCUGAGCUUGACUUUGUGGCCUGCCUGAACAAACCUUAUUCUCAAUUUGCUGAUAUAAACCAGAAAGAGUUGAAAUGUUAUUGCUAAAUUUUCAGAGUCAUGAAUCAAUAAUAAACAUGAACAUUUGUCAAUAUGGUAAUUUGGGGAUAUUCUGUAGUGGACCAUCUCAAACUUUAAAAUAUCUUCGUUGUGUAAAGCAACAUUGACAGUAUAAACCAGUACGAUCAGGUAUAUGGCUACCAUUAGCCAGGAAGACAUGACAAAGUAUAUGGCACAAGUGGCAUGAUUUAAUUGCAUUUUUGCCUUUAAUUGCAGGCCCUCAAUGAACUAGCAUUGCUCUGUUCAAAUCCAAGCUGCAUCAUGAAUUUGGUAAAAAUUUCACUUUUUCCCCCAACUAAUGGUAAGAAAAAAACACAUGAUGUAUGGCCUAUGUUGAAAAUAACUGGACUUCUUCCUUAAUAUGGAACUGUUUUAUCGUUGCUAAACCGAGAGCAUAAUCAAUACUCAAUACAUCUAUACACCCAAUAAUACCUUCAAACAUGUAAAGGUGUUAUUGGGGGUAUAAUUACUGCUAAAGGUUUUUAACACAACAAGGUGGUGCACUCAUUUGAAAGAUGCAAAGAGUUAAUUUGUGCAACUGAAAAACCAUGCUGACUUUUAAAUCACCCCUCUGCACACACACACACACGCCAACAUAUAUGAAAUGUGCAGCACAAAUUAGUUUUAAGGGAAAAAAAUAAAACAAUCACACAAAAUCAAUACAUAUACUGCAGCCCAAUUAUACACAUCUGACACAAAAUGGAGUAGAUGCAGGCUUUUAGAGAUAUAAAUGUACUUUUCUGCAAAGCAAUUGACUUUAUAAAGAUUUAUUUUCUAAUUCUGUUACAUACAGGUCGUUAUGUUUAUAUAGAGUACAUACAUGUAUACAUAUAUUGGGUAAGGUGAUGUGUGUUUGAUAAUCUUGACAAUAAACACUUACGAUUAUUGUUAAUCGUAAUUAAGUCA